UACAGAGGUCUCAAGCGUUGUUCGGAAUCACUGGGCGUAAAGGGUGCGCAGGCCGCGCGGGCAGUCAAAUGUGUAAUUCAGGGGCUCAACCCCUGCACUGCGCUUGAUACUUCCGCGCUAGAACCUUGGAGAGGAGUCUGGAAUUCUCGGUGUAGCAGUGAAAUGCGUGGAUAUCGAGAAGAACACUAAGGGCGUAAGCAAGACUCUGGACAAGCGUUGACGCUCAAGCACGAAGGCUAGGGGAGCGAACGGG
rnacentral:rRNA from 1 species